rnacentral:rRNA from 1 species
UACGGACGGGGCUAGCGUUGUUCGUCCUUACUGGGCGUAAAGAGCGCGUAGGCGGCUUCCCCAGUUGGGGGUGAAAUCCCGGAGCUCAACUCCGGAACUGCCUUCAAAACUGGUAGGCUCGAGUCCGGAAGAGGGGCGUGGAAUUCCCAGUGUAGAGGUGAAAUUCGUAGAUAUUGGGAAGAACACCGGUGGCGAAGGCGGCGCCCUGGUCCGGUACUGACGCUGAGGCGCGAAAGCGUGGGGAGCAAACAGG